UGCAAGACAAAGCAAAUGGGUAAUUAUAAUUCUAGCCUUUACAAUGUUCUGGAGAAUGUGGAUCAUUGGUGUGGGAAAAGGAGAUUAAAAUUUCACAUAGACAUUUUAGCGUUUUGUCAGAAGCGUCCGCGCCACGAGGAGGAGGCCCUGCUGAUUUCUGUGCGGGCUCUUGUUAGGAUGGUGAAGCUGUUCAUCGGAAACCUGCCCCGGGAGGCCACAGAGCAGGAGAUCCGCUCUCUUUUCGAGCAGUAUGGGAAGGUGCUGGAAUGUGACAUCAUUAAGAAUUACGGCUUUGUGCACAUAGAAGACAAAACUGCAGCGGAAGAUACCAUACGCAACCUACACCAUUACAAGCUUCAUGGGGUGAACAUCAACGUCGAAGCCAGCAAGAAUAAGAGCAAAACCUCAACAAAGUUGCAUGUGGGCAACAUCAGUCCCACCUGCACUAAUAAGGAGCUUCGAGCCAAGUUCGAGGAGUAUGGUCCGGUCAUUGAAUGUGACAUCGUGAAAGAUUAUGCCUUCGUACACAUGGAGCAGGCAGAGGAUGCAGUGGAGGACAUCAGGGGCCUUGAUAACACAGAGUUUCAAGGUGGGAUGUGUGUGGGCUGAAAUUCCGAGCUGCGGUUGUGCAUGAGAAUACACCCUUCAUGGUACCCCAUCUCCGGGACGUUCUCGGCUUUGUGCGUUCAGUCCCUCAGGAACCGUGGACCUUAAUUUACCUUGCUAAGUUCAGACCUUCUCUUCCUUUACUUUACUUUCCUCUCCUGCCUGUUUUCCUGUUCUUCUGUCCUUCAAUACUUCUGUAGCUUCCCAUUCAUGUUCUGUUCUCCCAGCAGGCGUCAUUGUGUGCCGAAACUGUGGUGGGGGCUGUGCUGUCUCCUCCCUGCCUCCUGCCUCCUGCGGCUGUUGGAUUUGGGAAUGACCUUGGUGAGAGUCUCACUGCCCCGGGUCUCUUUUUGGUCCAAAGGCUAGACCUAGAACAUUGGAUCACUUUUUUCUUUCCGGUGAAAUAAAUGGUUUUUCAACUUAAAAAAAAAAAAA